rnacentral:rRNA from 1 species
UACGUAGGGGGCAAGCGUUGUCCGGAAUCAUUGGGCGUAAAGCGCGUGUAGGCGGCCAGGUAAGUCCGUUCUGAAAGCCCGGGGCUCAACCCCGGGAGGCGGAUGGAUACUGCUUGGCUCGAGUCCGGAAGAGGCGAGUGGAAUUCCCGGGGUAGCGGUGAAAUGCGCAGAUAUCGGGAGGAACACCGGUGGCGAAGGCGGCGACCUGGGUAGAUACUGACGCUGAGGUGCGAAAGCGUGGGGAGCAAACAGG